UGCAGAAGAUUUGUAAGGAAAUGUGUUC
rnacentral:piRNA from 1 species